AGGGCCUGUGCAUAUGAUCCCGCUUACCGGGACGUCUCGCUUACCAAUGAUCUCGCCGCUUAUCUAUUUUCCUAUAAAAUUUUGCAUUGUGUUCAUAUGAGAAAGCGAGCUGGCCCGCUUGCCGAGAUCUCGUUUGAAUUUGCCGAGAUCACAGGUAGGCGGGAUGAAAAUUUUUCCAUAUGAACACGCCAGCCCGCUUACCGGGAUGAAGUGAAACAAGUCUUGCCGGUUUAAUUUAACACUUUUUACUUGGUUUUAUGUUUGUUUUGUAAACAAGUAUUAAAUAACCACCUGAAGCAAUACUUUUUCUUGUAAAUAAACGAAGAAAAACA